rnacentral:rRNA from 1 species
GGAGGAGGCAAGCGUUGUCCGGAAUCAUUGGGCGUAAAGAGCGCGUAGGCUGUUUUUCAAGUCAUAUGUGAAAACCUCAGGCUUAACUUGAGGACUGCAUAUGAAACUGGGAAACUUGAGUGCAGUAGGGGAAAGUGGAAUUCCUGGUGUAGCGGUGAAAUGCGCAGAUAUCAGGAAGAACACCGGUAGCGAAGGCGGCUUUCUGGGCUGCUACUGACGCUGAGGCGCGAAAGCUAGGGGGGAGCAAACAGGAUUAGAUACCCUGGUAGUCCUAGCUGUAAACGAUGGACACUAGGUGUGGGAAGUUAUCGACGCUUUCCGUGCCGGAGCUAACGCAUUAAGUGUCCCCGCCUGGGGAGUACGGUCGCAAGACUA